UGAGUUUUUAAUAUUAGUGUGUGUGUGUGGGUAUGUGUGCGCGGUUGUGUGCAUUUCAAGGUACACUGAAAACGCUUUAGUCCACAUUAAUAGUGACGGCAUUGUGACAGCGCAGCGAGUAACGAAUAAAACGUGAAACCAAUACUUGUGUAAUUUGCCGAAUGAAAAGAAAGUCCAAAAACAAAUUUGUCCUAGACGACUAUGUGUAGUGAGUGCUGAGUGCUUUGUAUGCCUUAUGUGUGUUGAAAUAGAAAUGGAAAAACAACAAAUUCGUGGAGAUCCAAUGAACGAUCGUCAAUGUGACAACAAUAGCCACAGCUAAAGUGACUGCAAAUAGUGGCCGCAGCUGGCUCGUCUAGCAGGCCGCAGCAAAAUCAUAACGCAACGAACGACCAACGGACGAACAUUGGAAUUAACACAGCACACGCUUUGCCAGCAAAUUUUAGAAACAACAACAACAGCAUCAACAGUCAACCACCACAGCGCUGUGCCAAAUGAAAACUCAACGAAAUGAUAUUUUAAAUCAUCACAUUAAAAAUAACUUUAGAAAAGUGAAAAAAGAACAUAAAUGAAUGCGCUAAAAGAAAAAAUUUAAAGAAAAAAUGUCAGCAAAAAUUAAAAAAUAAUAAAGUAAAAAUACUAUAACGGAAAUUGUGUGAUCCACAUAGUAUAUAUAUAUAUAUUGGCGGUUUUACGAAAAUGUGUAUGUGAAAUUUAUUUGAAUUUCGACAAAAAUAACGCAAAUUUCUGUGGUGGUGACGGCAAAAGCGACAGC